CAUGUGUGUUAUAAUAUUCUCAUGCCAUGUCAGUGAUUUUAUUUUCGCUCUGAUCUUAAUGUACUUUAAAUCGUAGAUUAAAGAGAUAAGUGGUUGAUCCUUUGCUCGGGGUUCUAAUUCGGUAUCCAGAGAACGGAGCUCACUAGGAAUGCGAUGUGUAGUACUAUCAGGUUGUAAAGGGGAGGGGGAAGGUGGAGGAGAUUUGCAGGAGUGUGCAGUAAUGGCUUGGAAAAGCAAAACAAAACCAUCUUAAGAUGGCUUGUGCGUCCAGCAGACGGCUGAGAUUUAAUAGUAUCCCAGAAUGAAUGUUAUGCAAAGAAGAAGAAGAAGCAAAAAAAGAAAAGAAAGGGUUGAAUAUCUGGAAGAUGAAUCUUAUGUUCUUGAGGAGUUAGACUUCAUAUUGACGGGAUUCAAGAGAUGAAUUCUGGAUAUUUGUAACGAAGAGGUGAUUAAACGAGUCAUCUUUUGCUAUGAUCACUUUUGCCAUGUGCUUAUUUCCCAAUUCUUCAGAAAUAAACAAACGUUUCGGACAGCUAAAAAUUGAUUUUGCUCUGCAGAAUGCAGCAGCAAAAUACGAAGCAUCUUACUCGACAACAUACUCCCCCUCCGAUAUGGCUAAAAUAGACAUCACUGCACUUCAUCGUUAUACAGUGCUGGUACGAUCGCAGUGCAAGAGUAUCCUGAGGUAUCCAUUGAAAGGCGGAGAGAGAUCUGUCAGGAAACAGUGGACCGACGUAAAGUAAAGGCAUUCCUUACCAUAGAACUCAAUCAAAAUACAGCCCCUUCAAAGAUUUCAGCCAAAACAGAAAUAUCCAUAAUAAGCAGAUUCUAUCAAGGCCUGGCUCUUAAGACUCUUACAUUUGUGGUUAGCAAUGUAUUAUUAUUGUUGUUCUAUGAUUUUCUAGUGUUUAAAAGUGCGCUACUUGCUGGUUAAAAACAAAACAGAGGAGAAAACAAGGGAAGUGAGGAAUAAGGGAUUUUUGCAUACAAUAAUGUUUAUGAAUAAAAAUGGAAAUUUAAGUAGAAAAACAAAAUGUGAACUAUUUUAUUUCACAAGAGUCCUCCCAUCCAAUAUUUCUUUUGGUGAACACUUAGAAGCCAGUGGUGAACUUCGCCAUUCCCUGUCAUGGAUGUAACUAUACACAAAACUGAAAGGUUUCCCUCGUCCUGUUAAUGCUACAGUGAGCAAAAACUUCGAAAACAGAGAAGGACAGAUUUGGCUGAGGAGAAAGAGGUUGAACAGUUAUUUUUAUCAUAAUGUUAUUUGUUGAGGAAACUCUUUUUUUGUUCUUUGUUUCAAAUUAAAUAAUCUUGACUUUCUAAAGUCCAGUGCUAUGCUUUACUACAUCAGCCUAGGUGCUCAGAAUGAACACAAAAGCAGGAUGUUAGCAAAGCUAGGCAACAUCCCUGACAAAAUACAGAGAGAUAAAUGUUUAGGAUCAGAGUACUAGUCAGAACCACUACCUGAUAACUGAAUGAACCCUUAAAGAUGAAGAAACAGAAGAACGGAAAUGUUUCUAAAAGAAACACUGGCAGAUUAUAAAUUUGAAAAAUUAAUAGGGGGAAUGUUGGCAGAUUAUGGGAGUGACAAUUAAUACACUUCUGUUUAUUACAAAGGAAAUGCAUAAACAACAUGACAAAAUUUGGUGGCAUUUUAGAUGUCCUCAUUAAAGGCCGAUGGCAAAAUUCCAGCCGAUCAUAUUUUAGCCUGAUCUUGUCCAGAAAUAUCUAAGGAAACCUAUGUAGGAUGAGGUUUGUAACUGCUAUCUUCAAGUCACACAGGCAAUAUCUUUCUCUCCUCCACCCCCGCUCUUUAAACUGGGAAGAAAGAAGUUGCUGUAAUUGUAAUAUUUCUUGUACUGUAUCUCACUCCUCUGCAGUUGCACACAGUGCAGUGUACAAAAAUAAAAAACAAAACAGCCAUUUAUAUUAAAAGCAGCCAUUCAACACCAUAUAUAAUAAAGUAAGCUUUAAAGCCUGAGGUGGCAACAUGGUCAGUCAAACAACCAUUAAAAGCUUUCAGAAACAAAAGGGUUUCAAUUUCUUUCUAAGAGGGAGAACCAAACACGGUUGAAAUGGAAUUAAUAACUUAAUGAAUAACUGUUGCCUAGCUUGCUUUUUUUUUUUAAGGCACAGCAUUUUAACAGUUAAUUUUCCAUAGUCACCAUUGUAACCAAUUCUGUAGUGGUGACAUUGACUCAAGUAUUCACUGACAUUGACCAAAGGAUGACAAAUGGGGAAAUAAAGAUGUUCAGAUGUUCUGGUUCAGCUACGUUUUACUCAGAAUACCAUAUUGACUGCAAGUCCUGCUCCCUGCCUUGCAUCCUUUUUCCACCUGUCCUAGAAAGGCAGGGCCCCGACUGACUCCAGCUACAAAAGCUGAGCCUGCUGGGUAUUGAUUAGGAGGCGGUUGGGGUUUUCUGGCGAAGGAGGGGUGUUGUUACUGCUAUUAUUGAUAUUUUUUAAUCUUUAUUUUAGAUUUAUUAUGCAGAAAUGUAUGCGGAAAUUGUGUUUUUUAUGUGGAAAUUGUUUUAAUUUGAUUGUUUACUUCUUAAUGUUUUAUUUAUUGUUUAUGGCUACUUU